ACGAUGACUCUCGGCAACGGAUAUCUAGGCUCUCGCAUCGAUGAAGAACGUAGCGAAAUGCGAUACUUGGUGUGAAUUGCAGAAUCCCGUGAACCAUCGAGUCUUUGAACGCAAGUUGCGCCCGAGGCCACUAGGCUGAAGGCACGCCUGCCUGGGCGUCACGC
rnacentral:rRNA from 1 species